AUGUGGCUGGAAAAGAAACACAUCUAUACUGACUUCUGGGGUUGGCAAACUCCAAGUCAAUCAAGAGUGCCAAUAAAAGUCAACGCACAUGAAUGUGAAAAAAUGCGUGAUUCCCGAUUGUACCAUGGCAAAAGCAUGGACUACUUAGGAAACAAUAAGUGGUCGUUCGAACGUAUUCCAAAUGUGCAGGGUAGCUGGCUUCAAGUCACAGCUGAUCAGCUGAUCAACUGUCGAUUAGAAGAAGUUACUUUAGAAACUGAGUGCGCUAACUGUACGAUAAGCUCACCCAUUGGCGAUAUACCGGUAGGGAUCAACGGGUCCGUUUCUCACAACCUAGUGACCAUUGUCUGGAAAGAAUCGUUAAGAGAAGUUCAACAGUGCAAACUAAGGCUUGUGGAAACAGGUAUCGCUCAACGUUACCUGACUAACAACAGUGAAAUAGAAAGAAUUCAUGACGUUGAACAACAACUUGACUUUGUUUACAAUACAACUAACAAGGAAUAUUGUAAUUCAUCCGAAAAAAGUUACAAACAAAUAAUCGGAAUGGACAAAGUUAUUUUACGUUUACAUUCUUUAACUGAUACCAAUGCUCAUCCGAGUAAACCACUGGAAGAAGACCUCGAAAAAAUUGCUGACAUUAUCCGGGCUGAAAUCAGCGGAGUGGCACAUUCUCAAUACGCACGAGACUGAACUACCGAUGGAAUAAAUCGAGUGGCUCGAGAAAUUCGAGCUCUACAAUGGGAAAAUCGAGUGCUGGCACACAAAACUGCUAUCGCCACCGCACAACACAGUGGAUGGCUUGCUGCCAGUUACCUUAAUUUACCCACAUGUAGCAAAUUGAUAGCCACUGGUGAAUCGAUCAGCGUCUAUCAAUGCUCCCCGAAAAAUUCAACGAUCAACACUGAAAUCACAAGCUGUGGUCCUCAACCCAAACUCGGCGACUACACUUUAGACACUGAAGGAUGGGAACUGACGCCUUACAACCCCUGUUACUGGCAUAAAAAUUUCGUCAACAUUAACGGCCGAGCACAUUUCUACAAAAACAGCUCUUGGCAUCCAAUCGUCCCCGGUGUAAUAAUCCAAGGACAUAGUUUGAUCAACACUUUGCCGUACGAAAUUGAUAAGCUACUCGCACUAAGUUUACACCCCGCGCUAACCCCCCACCCGAUGAGCACCGCAGCUGCAAUCGCCGAGAUCAUUGCUGCUGCUAAAGAUGAACAUAGCAUCGACCUUGGAAAUCCUUUU